CUUCCUUUAGUAUUUCUUAUAAUUCAAGCCUUCUGAUAAGUACAACACUGUGUAUUUGAAAAGCAUAAGAGAUUCAGAAAACAUAUCUUCCACCAGAAAGUGUUCACUAUUUGCUUUAAGUAGUUUUGGUAUUUUCAAAGUAUUGUUACUGAUCAGGGUCCCUGGACUCCUUAAUCAAAAGAAAUUGAUAAGAGACCAGACAAGGAAUUCAGACAAGGCUUUACUGGGACUCCUGCUGCAGUGCAAGGAAGCAAAAACAGGACAGAACUCCUCGGUAAACCUUUUGUGCACAGAUGUCUGCCUCCAAGUCUGUUUCCUGUGGACCUCAAUCUUAAUAAGCAGCAGACAUUACAGGAGGAUCAAUUGCUCUAGAAAAUGGAAAGUUUUUUUUUUCCCCAUUUAAAGCAGUUGAAUCUCUUCAACAAAAUUCUUGUCUGGAAACAUCAUCAUGUAAAUAUGGUGAAAGGGGAGUUUCUGUACUUGAAGUGGGAGGGAGUGCUACUGUUUUUGCCUAUUUUGGCUCCCUUAUUCUGUGCCAAGAUAAUUCUCAGAGGGCUUUACACACCCACUAGGUCUCAUCUGAGUACAGUUCAAAAACCAGUAGGAAAAUCACAGAAUCCAUGGAAUAGAGUAGGAAAGAAAACAAGGUCAGGCUGUUGAGUGCUUUGAAUGUCAGGACAGGAAAUCUGAACAUUAUUCUGGAGAAUACUGACAGUAGUAAAUUCAGGGGCUAACGUGAUCCGAACUGCAUUGAGGCAAAUGGGUAAACAUAUGGGGAAUAAAUGAAAUCUCUACCUCACAUUGUAUAACAACUUCCAGGUAGAUUACAUACAUACAUGUAAUGAAGUCAUAAAAUUAGUAUAAAAUAUAUAAAUGUGUACAGAGUCUUGGGGUUUUCCUUAAAAACAUGAUACCACAAGAGUUACCUGGGGGCAUUCUUUUUAAGCAUGAUACUCCAGAAAGAAAAAGAUUGACAGAUUUAGAUGAAAAAUUAGAAACAUCUGCACAUGUAAAACACCCUAACUAAAAAAGAAACCCAAAUGAUAAUUGAAAAAUAUAUUUUGAAAUAAAUAGAUUGAGAAUUACUAUCCUGGAUACAUAAAAGGCUCAUGAAAAUCAACUUAAGAAUAGAAAAAUUGGGUAAAGUAUAUGUAGAAAUAAUU